rnacentral:lncRNA from 1 species
GCUUUGUCUUCAACAUAAUAUAUUUAUUAAAUAAAUGUAACUGUGUAAUCAUGGAAUCUAAGCACAGGAGGAUUUCCAAGCUUCACCUCACAUCAAAUGCAGGCAUCAUAUAGCCUCUAGGCCUUGGGUUAUGUCAGGGAUUUUUGCUUUUCACUUAGACUUGCAGUUGUCUUUCUUAGAAGAUAUGAAACAUGUUGGUCCCACCUCUAGCCAAGUAAAAACAGGUAUGUGAAUAAAAUGACUAUCAAAACAGGUUCUUUUCAAAGCGUUGGAAAUAUUGGAUUUCUCUUGGCUGUGAAUGUAGUGGGAGUCUUGAUGUCUUCGUCAUAUUGGGGAGCUUUUUAUUCAGCAUACUAAAAACAUGUAUCUAGCAAUUUCUAGAGGGUGCCAGGACUUUUCUUGGGGUUAGAGUAAUGAAGAUGAUUAUACAAUGGCCUCUAUCCAGUUGACGCAACUGAUUAGAUUAGCUAAAUGUUACAGGGCACGGUGGUAUAAAAAAAUUCCUGGAAGACGGAAGAUUUUAUUCACCACAUAAGCAGUCAUGGGGUAGGUGUUCCACAACUAGUUGGAUGUGUCAAGGCACAGCAUCCUACAAAAACAUAGUCUGUUUUGAAAAAUUCAGUCUGCCUGAAGGUGGGUGGCUGGAGAAAAACUUGAGAAGUUAGGAGGGACCACAUCACCCAAUACCUGGUUAACCAACUAGGAGAGAUUUAAUGACUACCUGUAUAGCCAGCAGGAACAUUUAAUGUGGGGUACAAGAUCACCUUUGUUCUUUAGGAAGUUUGUAGUCAUUCAUAAAUCCAAAGGAAAAAGCAAAAAUUCAGGCCAUGUUAUGCCUCACAUGUAAAAUAGCCUGCUAUCCAGCCCUGGGCAUUGCAUUAUUCCAGUAAGGGCUAAUGUUGUAUAUUCUUCUCAACUAUUUCAAUAAAAAAUGUGGAGGAUACAUUCCAGUUGAAAGAUCACUUAUUUGAAUUUUACCUUUUAGUGCCAAGAUUGCAGGGAAAAAUAUCAUUUGUGAGCCUCUCGGAAGGUUGGCUGAUCUGCAGAUAGGAUAAAAUAUCCUGCAUGUACUCUCCAUUUGAUUUGUAAUUUACAUAGCAUCUCUUUGUUCAUCAAGGAACACCCUGCAUGACUUCCUGACACUGACCUGGAUUUUACUUAUGGCUGCCCUAAAUUGUGUUAUCAUGGUGUACCGGUUGUUCAGUAUUCAGCCUUGCUCCUCUGUAACUUAAUAUUAUGAUUUAUUUCUGACUUGGCUUUUCUUUAUCGAAUGCUGACUUUUUCUAAGAGGUUCAUGUGGAAAUGUGCUACAUGAAAAAAAAAAAAGGAGCACAGUUUGGCCUCAGGGCAAAAACAUGAAUACUGACCCAGGGACAUGAAUACAGGGCAGAAGAGAGAGUGGCACAGGCAACAAAAUUAACUCAUUUCUUUGCCUUUUGUGUGUUCCUAAGUGUGUGGAGUGACUCAAAUUUUAGCACAGAAAGUAAAGUUAGAAAGCAACUGCUAUUUGCCAACAACCCAUUCUUUAAUUCUCAAAGAUCAAAAAUUUGCUUGAAAACUGACAUUUUCAUUUUCUCCUGGCCCAGUGAACAAAGUUUUAAGGUUAUGUGGUCGCUCUGAUACCACCUAAGAAGCAAAUAUUUCUUGCAGUCUACUUCUAGAUGUGAAUGAACUGAAAGUAAAUGACUCAGAGAUGGAGUAAAUGUCCCUUGAAAUACACCCAAACUUAAUAAUUAGGAGAAGAGUGCUUGAAUAAACACAUUUAGAGUGUUAUUGAGCAUAUACAAGCUUAGAUGGUCCAUAUUUCUAAAAGACAGUGAGUCUAUAGCACAUUCUUCGGAGAUGAGAAAAUUAUGCCAUAAAUAAAAUUUGUAGUGGAGGCAUUUGUUUUAUCAUUCAGUUAAGUAGCAGGAAUUCUUUCAUACCUAGAGGGACUUAGGUAAAACUAAUAAACAGACAUACUUAACAACAAGAACAACAACAACAAAAAUAAAGCAUUACCAUUCAAGAGUGUGAAAUCACUUCUCUGAGAGCCUUUUUGGAUUGAAUAUUCUUUUUGGGCUGGUAAUGUCAAACUAAAACUUUACCUAAACACAGAUAACUAGGUGGCUCUUAGCAUACCUUUCAGGGCUUAUGGUCUCCAAUUAUUCCACUCACAUCCCCCUAUACAUUUCCAAAUCACCUCUUUCAGUGUCUCCAGUGUUUAAACAUGAACUGGAUAGAGUGUUGCAUGGUAGUAUUAAAUAAAAUUUAGCUUAAAGCUGUUUCCUUACAUAUUAUAAGUUCUGUCUAAAGGUUUCUACGUGCAUAGUAUACAUGUCAUUGAAAGUGUAAAUGGACUAUAACCUACUCUGAUACCAAUCACUGAGUUGUGGCCAAUCAAAGGUGGCCAACUGCUCAAACCACAUUCAAAUAUGGCAAAUGCUGAGCUGUAACCAAUCCCGUUGUUUCUGUACCUCAUUUCUGUUUUCUCUCUGUCACUUUUCUUUUUCUUUCCAUAAAUCUUCUUCAACCACCUGGCAGUGCCAGAGUUUCUCUGAACCCAUUCUGGCUUGGGGGAUGCCUGAUUCAUGAAUCAUUCUUUGCUCAAUUAAACUCUGUUUAAUUUAAUUUGUCUAAGGUUUUUCUUUUAACAGUAGAGAUAGGAGUACAACACACUUUGAGGUGUACAGGAGUGAGUUCAAAUCCUAGCUCUGUUAUUGGCUUGAUUUCUCAUCUUGAGCAAGGUACUUAGUUUCUCUGAGCCUUAGUUUCUGCACUUGUAAAUGUGGAGAAGUGAAACACCAGACUUGAGAGGAUGCUCUGCUAUCUGAACGAGGUAAUGGGAAAAUGCUCGGCCAGUGUUGUAACUCAAUCUUCUUAUCCAACAGUGAGCCCCUUGGGCACCCAGACCCAGACUCGCCCUUCUAGUCUCACGUCUUGCACUCUCUGGCACAUCUCAUGUAGGCUCUGUUGCCUGUCAUGUUUUCCAGUCCACAAAUACCCUUGGCAUGCUCUCAUGUCUGUACUUGGUCCACAUUAUUCUAACGUGAAUACAUGAAACUUCUAAUGACAGUGCAAUCUUUCUAGACAAUCUCUGAAGGAGAAAUGUUACUAGUCUGUGGUGAAUAUAAAAAUAGGCUCAUAGGGAAAAAAAACUGUGAUUGAAGGUAUAAUUCUGCAUUUUCUUGGGAUAUACAUAAAUAGCAAGUAGUCAUUUUUUACUUAAAAAAAAAAAAAGAAAUCUACAGAAAGAAAAUUUAGCUGUCUUUCUGUUGCUAACCUUCCAGGAGGCCUUGGUUCUCCUUUAAGGUUGAAGUUCGUUUGUGACAGGUUAGUGCUGCUCAUUUUUGUGGCUUUCCAGAAGCCACCGUGGAAAAGGCAGAAGUCUUCCCCUCCCAUUAUGCUGAGUCAGACAUGGCAUCUACAUGACUCAUCACCAAGUGGUUCUCCAGAAUUCACUUUGCUUGCUUUUCCCCAAUCCAGAUAAUCCUCGGGACUGGUAGCCACCCAACUCACUCCUGCACACUGUUCUUCCUCUUUGGAGGCACCCACCAUGCCUGUCUGAUGCUGCCCCUCAAGGUCACAUCGGAGUCUCCUGUACCUACCUUGUCUGUGGCUACCCAACUCUAUACAAUUUCUGAAGCUUUCAUAACACCCAGAUGGUCUAUAAUGUAAUAUGUGUUUAGAUAAUCCUCAGGCCAAAACAUCUUUCCAAAAUUUAACUGUAAAUCUGUCACUUCCAUGGGUUAUGUUAGUCUUUUCCAUGUUCAAAUGGCUAUCUGAGCUCCUGGGGAGGGGAAGUCACUCCCGGAGUUCUCUUUCCAUCAUUCAUAGUGUGAAUCUCACCUUGGGCUGGGAGGAAUUUGUGAUGGGCAUACAAGUGAGAAAAAGGGUGCAAAGGGGUGAGAUGGUAUGUUAGUCAGGGUUCUCUAGAGGGACAGAAUUAAUAGGAUAGAUGUAUAUACAAAGGGGAAUGUAUUAAGGAGUAUUAACUCACGAGAUCACAAGGUAAGGUUGCAUAAUAGGCCAUCUGCAACCUGAGGAGCAAGGAAGCCAGUCCAAGUCCCAAAGCUGAAGGACCUUGAGUCCAAUGUUUGAGGGCAGGAAGCAUCCAGCAUAUGGGAGAAAGAUGUAGGCUUGGAGGCUAAGCCAGUCUAAUCUUUUUUUUUUUUUUUGAGAUGGAGUUGCCCUCUGUCACCCAGGCUGGAGUGCAGUGGCGUGAUCUCAGCUCACUGCAACCUCCGCCUCCGCCUCGCAGUACCUGAGAUUACAGGUGCAUGCCAACACGGCUAAUUCUUGUAUUUUUAGUAGAUACAGGGUUUCACCAUGUUGGCCAGUUGGUCUGGAACGAACUCCUGACCUCAAGUGAUCCGCCCACCUCAGCCUCCGAAAGUUCUGCGAUUACAGGUGUGAGCCACUGUGCCUGGCCAAGCCUAAUCUUUCCACGUUCUUCUGCUUGCUUUUAUUCUAGUUACACUGUCAGCUGGUUAGAUGGUGCCCUCCCAGAUUGAAGGUAGAUCUGCGUUUCCCAGUCCACUGACUCAAAUGUUAAUCUCCUUUGGCAACGCCUUCACAGACACACCCAGAAUCAAUACAUUGCACCCUUCAAUCCAAUCAAGUUGACAUCCAGUAGUAACCAUCACAGAUGGCUAAUACGGGAGAUAUUCAUGAAGGGUCUGGGAAGGGGAUUUGGAAGAGAUAUGGACACAAAGGAAGGAGGAAAGAAAAGGGGAAGUGAGACGGGAACCAAACCAAACACCCUGUAUUGCACAAUUGAGCCUGGAGUUGGCCUGCUCGCCACAGAGCAGUCACAGGUUUUCAGGAUGCUUUAGUGAUAGCAGCCAUCAGUACCUCUCAUUAGGAGCAAAAGCCCUGAUUGGUAAUAGUAUAUUCUACUUAUUUAGAGAAUAAAAGUUCCCUGUUAGAACCAGCCUUCUCAGAAUGGCAUUCAGCUUUUCAGAAAAGCACAGCACCAGCAUAUUUCUUAUCUGCCUUGAAGGUUAUAAUAAAUCCCUUCUUCUGUUAAUUCAUAAAUCCUUCAGCCACAUGCCAUUUUGGGGCCAUAUGCUUUCUUUCCUCCCUCUAACCCUUGGAAAGAUCUUUCAUAUCCAAUCUCUGUAGAUAAUCUGAAUGUGAAAUCAGGUAUGGUUAUCUAAUCCCUCUAAUCAGAAGGUCAGCAGUUACCUGCAGCUUUUCCAUCUGUCCUCCAGCUGAAUGCUGCCAUUUAGUAAAUCAAAAAUUGGUUACAAAUUAGCAAAGCUGACUGGCUCAAUGAAAUCUAGCCUGGAGUCUUUGCUGGAAGGGGGGAAGUUUAAAUAUGGUUUGAAGGGAGAUUUGAGGUGAACUCUAUUUAUCAAAGCCGUGGAGUAGCAGCAUAAAAGAUGAGAGAUGUUCUCCUGGGUAAAAAUGUCAAAUCACAUGGGAAAUGGGAAUAUUUCACAUGGUGAUUACUGAAUUUUACAAUUGUUCGCAAAUUGAUUCAGCCCAGAAAUCAACUGGGAAGUCUCCCACAGGUGUCUAGCACUCUGCAGGUAUUAGCGUGAUACAGGGUAAGUCUCAAAGUACAAAAAAAAACACACAUGUGAAACAAUUUGCAAACAAUGAAGUGCUAACCUGUGUGGUGUGAAUUACAGAUGCAUUAGGACACCAGAAAAGGAAGAAAAGACAGUGGCAGCUGAAGACAUUUCAGGAAUGCUUCACUGAGAACCUAAGUCUUGUUCUGGGCCAUAAAGAAAAGGGGAGGGUGUGGUUUCUAUACCAGAGAUAAGAAAGGAGAAAAUUGGACGUGGAGGAAAGAUAUGAGUACCAAUCCGAGCGAACAAGGAAGAGUGAGUAAAUCUGUCCAGCUGGAGUUGGAGGUACAUUCUGGAAAAUGGUGAGAGAGGCUGUGUAGGGUAGGGGGACACGGAAAGAUGGGCCAAGACAUUUGGAGCUGAUAUUUGAUAUGGUUUGGCUGUGCCCCCACCCAAAUCUCAUCUUAAAUUGUAAUCCCCAUAAUCCCCACGUGUCGAGGGAGGGACCCGGUGGGAAGUGAUUGGAUCAUGGGGGCAGUUUUCCCCAUGGAAUUCUCGUGAUAGUGAGUGAGUUCUCACGAGAUCUCAUGGUUUUACAAGCGUCUGGUAUUUCACCUGAUUGCACUUCUCUCUUCUGCCUCCUAGUGAAAAAGGUGCCUGCUUCUCCUUCUGCCAUGAUUAUAAGUUUCCUGAGGCUUCCCCAGCCAUGCGUAACUCUCCUUCCCAUUUAUGAGAGAGCCACAUGACAUCAGCCCAUAGACUGUGGAGAGUAUUCCAGAUCUAUCACAUUCUGCGAUUCUGCGAUUCCCAGAAGGCUGGUCAUGAAAAAAUUCCCUCUUCAGUUUACAUAUAUGGCAGUGGCACUUCUAGAUAUCUGUUGAGGCCUGGAAGGGGCAAAACAAUUCAGGAAGCAGUUGAAGAUAAAGGGGUUUACCAUGGAAGAGAAGAUCCAGGUGCCUUCAUGGAAAUGCUUGUGGUUGAAAAGAGAUGAAGAUGAGGGUCCCUGGAAAGAGGAAGAACCAGCCAGGAAAAUUAUACCAUUAGCAAGACUGGCAUCAGCAAGUAGUUCGCAGUGUUGGUUGUUCUUGGUUUCGCAGGAUUUUAUAGGAGAUGGACCUUCUCCUAAAAGUCUUAUCUUCUAAGUCUCCUAAGUCUUGGACUUUUCAAGGCCAAAGAUUUAAAGGCCAAGUGGACCAUACGGGAGAUCUAGUUUCCCAUCCAGACAGCCAAGCUCAUGCAUCCCUGGAUUUGGAUGGAUGGUUUCCCAUGGGGCCUUGGACAGAUUGGACCCAGCACUGGCACAGGGUUGACUUGGAGGAAUAAGCUCCUGGAAACCUCAAUUAGCGUUUGGGGUAUGAACAUUAAACAAUACUGAAUCUGGAAACAAUACAUCACACAGCGGGUCCAAGGAAAUAAGCAGAAGGCUGGCAGCAGGCCAGGGCCAGGGGCCAAAUCGCUCCUCAAAGACAAUUCUUCAUGGAGAAAUGACAGCAGGUUUGAGGACAGCAGGUGACACAUAUUACAUAUUCAGAGAGGUCACAUUGGAUUUCCAUUCUCCAAGCCUGAGGGUAAUUUCCUAGAUGUGAAAUAUUUGUUUCAAAAUCUAUCAGCAUUGGGGUGGAGCCAAGAUGGCCGAAUAAGAACAGCUCCGGUCUACAGCUCCCAGCGUGAGUUACGCAGAAGACGGGUGAUUUCUGCAUUUCCAUCUGAGGUACCGGGUUCAUCUCACUAGGGAGUGCCAGACAGUGGGUGCAGGACAGUGGGUGCAGUGCACCAGGCAUGAGCCGAGGCAGGGCAAGGCAUUGCCUCACUCGGGAAGUGCAAGGGGUCAGGGAGUUCCCUUUCCUAGUCAAAGAAAGGGGUGACAGAUGGCACCUGGAAAAUUGGGUCACUCCCACCCUAAUACUGUGCUUUUCCAAUGGGCUUAAAAAACGGCACACCAGGAGAUUAUAAACUGCACCUGGCUUGGAGGGUCCUACGCCCACGGAGUCUUGCUCAUUGCUAGCA